rnacentral:rRNA from 1 species
GACGAACCGUGCGAACGUUGUUCGGAAUCACUGGGCUUAAAGGGAGCGUAGGCGGGCUAUCAAGUCUGGGGUGAAAUCCCACGGCUCAACCGUGGAACUGCCUUAGAUACUGACGGCCUCGAGGGAGAUAGGGGCAUGCGGAACUGUAGGUGGAGCGGUGAAAUGCGUUGAUAUCUGCAGGAACUCCGGUGGCGAAAGCGGCGUGCUGGAUCUCUUCUGACGCUGAGGCUCGAAAGCUAGGGGAGCAAACGGG